AUCCUGCCCCCCAGGACUGGUGUGGCCCACGCACACGAGCUACACCCACCAAGGAGCGCUAGUCCCACUCCUGAAGUGGGCUGCGAGGGUGCACGGGGAGAUCACUCCUUCCCUGCCUGCCUCUUACCUGAUUCAGGUAAGACCUGGGCUACAGGACUCCAUGUUUGGGAGAACCUGUUGCCUGCAUUUUCUCAAGAAGGAUUCUAAAGAGCUUCAAUUUGCUGGGAAGCUUUCUCCUCAGGUGGACUAGCAAGUGCAGAGUCUUGCAGUUCUUUCAUCUAUUUAUAGCUCAGAGAAGCCACCCAGAUGCAGAUGUGUGAUUCCAAAGCAGAAAUCACUCAAAUUCAUGAAGAUUCUCCCUCUGCCCUUAUAGUGGAGGCACAUCGUUAAAAGCACUUUGUUGAAGCUAUGCUAAAGUGUUGGACAUUUCAGUGGAUAAACAAAACAAUAUAAACAGUCGAGAUGGUUUUCUAGUUACGGGACUCGGAAUACUCUACUUAAAUUUAGCAGGGUUUAGGUAUAUGUGGAUGUUGUCACUUCCUUCCUCCUCCCUCCCUUCCUUCCUCAUUUUCUCUGUCUGUAUCUCUGUAAUGAGGCCAUGCAUGUUACUGGGAAAUAUAGUAGAUUUGGAGACAGGCGUGGGUUCCCAUCCAAGGUCCAACACUCACAAUUGAGUGAUCCCAUACACAUUAUGUGAGUGUUCUAGCUCUUAGUAAUUGAAGGAUAACAACAAAGUAGAGAAAAAUUGUCUAAGAUUAUAUAUAAAUGGAUUAAAUUGUAUAUAAAUUAUAUAAGAUUAUAUAUAAAUGGAUGAAUGGCUAGAUCGGUGGAUAAAUGGAUGGAUAAAUGGAUGGAUGGAUAGAUGGAUGAAUGAAUAGACGGAUGAAUGAAUAGGUAGCUAGAUGGAUAGUUGGAUGGAUGAAUGCAUAAAUGGAUGGAUGAAUGGAUAGAUGAUAUACAGAUAUGUAGAUGGAUAAAUGGAUGGAUGGAUGGAUAGAUAGAUGAUACAUAGAUGAAUAGAGUCUGCAGGACAAUGCAUAAUAGGUCAAAGACUUUUUUCGUUCUUUUUUGUUUUUUCUUUUUUAGCGAUGAAGUCUCACUCUGUCACCCAAGCUGGAGUGCACUGGUGUGAUCAUAGCUCAUUGCAGCCUGGAACUCUUGGGCUCAAGCAGAUGUUGGAGCACAGGGGAUGAGUUGACCCAGCUGCUGUGCUCAGAAAUCUACCAAUCACCAUGUUUCCAUGGAGGCCAAGCUUUCCCGACUGCUCCCAGGCAGUGAUUGAGCAUGGCAGGAUUCUCAGGCAAGCCCACUCCUGGGAAAUGCAUCACUCCUGUCAUGGGCUCCCCAUUAGCUUUGCAGAAACUUCUGCAGAACCUCAUGUGAAGUCUUGCCCCGCACUGUGUUCCCAUCUUUCCCUUCUCCACUGGUGCUAGACUUGCACUGAGGUCUGAUGACUCUCCUGGACUUUGCUGGCUCCCUUCCCAUUUUCUCUUGCAGAAUUUUCCUUAAUAAAUUACUUACACUCUUAUUAGAGUUUUCUCAAAUAAA